ACCUACGGGGCGCAGCAGUAGGGAAUCUUCCACAAUGGGCGAAAGCCUGAUGGAGCAACGCCGCGUGGGUGAAGAAGGUCUUCGGAUCGUAAAACCCUGUUGUUAGAGAAGAAAGUGCGUGAGAGUAACUGUUCACGUUUCGACGGUAUCUAACCAGAAAGCCACGGCUAACUACGUGCCAGCAGCCGCGGUAAUACGUAGGUGGCAAGCGUUGUCCGGAUUUAUUGGGCGUAAAGGGAACGCAGGCGGUCUUUUAAGUCUGAUGUGAAAGCCUUCGGCUUAACCGGAGUAUUGCAUUGGAAACU
rnacentral:rRNA from 1 species